GAUGAACGCUGGCGGCGUGCCUAAUACAUGCAAGUCGAGCGAAUGGAUUAAGAGCUUGCUCUUAUGAAGUUAGCGGCGGACGGGUGAGUAACACGUGGGUAACCUGCCCAUAAGACUGGGAUAACUCCGGGAAACCGGGGCUAAUACCGGAUAACAUUUUGAACCGCAUGGUUCGAAAUUGAAAGGCGGCUUCGGCUGUCACUUAUGGAUGGACCCGCGUCGCAUUAGCUAGUUGGUGAGGUAACGGCUCACCAAGGCAACGAUGCGUAGCCGAACUGAGAGGGUGAUCGGCCAAACUGGGACUGAGACACGGCCCAGACUCCUACGGGAGGCAGCAGUAGGGAAUCUUCCGCAAUGGACGAAAGUCUGACGGAGCAACGCCGCGUGAGUGAUGAAGGCUUUCGGGUCGUAAAACUCUGUUGUUAGGGAAGAACAAGUGCUAGUUGAAUAAGCUGGCACCUUGACGGUACCUAACCAGAAAGCCACGGCUAACUACGUGCCAGCCACCGCGGUAA
rnacentral:rRNA from 1 species